GCCCGGGUGGUGAAAUUGGUAGACACAAGGGACUUAAAAUCCCUCGGAGGCAACUCCGUGCCGGUUCGAGUCCGGCCUCGGGCACCA
rnacentral:tRNA from 2 species